GAUGAACGCUGGCGGCGUGCUUAACACAUGCAAGUCGAGCGAGUCAGGUUUUCAACACUGAGUAUUCGGUAAUUAUAAAUGUAAGUAAAGCCAGCGUCAAGCACAUGCUUCAAGUGCUUCACGCGUUAUAAAAGCUUGCUAACACAUAAGACUGAGUAUUGAGUGUUGGAAACUUGACUAGCGGCGGACGGGUGAGUAACGCGUGGGCAACCUGCCUUCAACAAGGGGGAUAACCCGUUGAAAGACGGACUAAUACCCUAUAACACAGGGGUCCCGCAUGGGAAUAUUUGUUAAAGGACAACCGGUUGAAGAUGGGCAUGCGUUCCAUUAGCUAGUUGGCGGGGUAACGGCCCACCAAGGCAACGAUGGAUAGGGGAACUGAGAGGUUUAUCCCCCACACUGGUACUGAGACACGGACCAGACUCCUACGGGGAGGCAGCAGUGAGGAAUAUUGGUCAAUGGACGCAAGUCUGAACCAGCCACGUCGCGUGA
rnacentral:rRNA from 1 species